UACGAAGGGAGCUAGCGUUGUUCGGAAUCACUGGGCGUAAAGCGCACGUAGGCGGAUUUGUCAGUCAGGGGUGAAAUCCCGGGGGCUCAACCUCGGAACUGCCUUUGAUACAGCAAGUCUUGAGUUCGAGAGAGGUGGGUGGAAUUCCUAGUGUAGAGGUGAAAUUCGUAGAUAUUAGGAAGAACACCGGUGGCGAAGGCGGCCCACUGGCUCGAUACUGACGCUGAGGUGCGAAAGCGUGGGGAGCAAACAGGG
rnacentral:rRNA from 1 species